GGAGAAUGAGGUGCCAGAGCCUGGGGAGCUCUAGUCCAAGCCCAGAGCCCCCCGGUGAGCAUCUGGCUGGGCUGGGGUAAGUGAGGCCUGAUGGCAGCAACCCCUUGCCCGCCCAGUGCCCCCUCUGAUCCAGCCCUUCGAGUUCCCACCGGCCUCCAUCGGUCAGCUGCUCUACAUCCCCUGUGUGGUGUCUUCGGGGGACAUGCCCAUCCGCAUCACCUGGAGGAAGGACGGACAGGUGAUCAUCUCAGGCUCGGGCGUGACCAUUGAGAGCAAGGAGUUCAUGAGCUCCCUGCAGAUCUCCAGUGUCUCCCUCAAGCACAACGGCAACUACACAUGCAUCGCCAGC
rnacentral:lncRNA from 1 species